rnacentral:lncRNA from 1 species
GGCCUGUUCUGGGACUCUUUCCUGGCUUGGUGCUGCCGACUCCUUGGCGCAUAUUUUCACGUUGCAGUAGAGAGAUGGUUUCUUGGUUUGGAAGACGUCUUUUUGAUUUAAGGAAGUCUUUUUCUCUUUUUCUCUCAUGCUGUGACUUAUAUCAAUUUGAUAAAUUAUACCUUCAUAAGCAGAUUUGAAACAUUUAUUUUUCUCCCUACCUGAUCCCUCCAGGAUUUGGAAACUCUUAAUGAAAAUACUUCUUAUUAAAUACCAGGUUACUUGCUUACACAAUAUAGACUGAACUCUGGGAACCCACCUGCAUCACCAUCGUACUAAGAGACUGGUUCAAUGAGAUGGAACAACCUAGUCCCCUCAUCAACAGGAUAAUCCCUCAAGAUUGAAGAUGAAUAACAAAAGGGGGGAUUGAUACGGGUCAACACAAGGUUGACAUAAGGGAAGCCAUAUUGUAAAAAAGCAACCAUAUUGUCACUUUGAAUGACUUCUGAUUAACUAACCCAGACAUGCUUUGUAGAUUUCAUGGACUCUCUCAGCUGCUAUAAGCUGAUAAGUUUGUUCUUUUGAGUUCCUUAGGAAUGUGACGACCCCCAGGCAGAGAGUCUGUGCUGAUGGCCAUCAUCAGUGACAACUGAAAGAUCUGGGUAUAGACUGUUGCUCUGGUCUCUGAUGCAUAUCCAGUAAAACAAAAGACUAUCAGGAACUGAGACCAGUUGUCUGCCUCCACCUGGAGGUCAGAUGGAGGCCCCAUGGGAUUAGGUCUAUUUUUCAGGGAAUGCUAGAAUUAGGGUUGUCUAUACUUCUUAUCCUUCUGUUAAGCUGGGAACAAGAGAAUAUUUCCAAAUGAGUGCUAUACAGUUUCAUUCCUCU